rnacentral:rRNA from 1 species
UACGGAGGGUGCAAGCGUUAAUCGGAAUUACUGGGCGUAAAGCGUGCGUAGGCGGUUCGUUAAGUCUGUUGUGAAAGCCCCGGGCUCAACCUGGGAACUGCGUCCGAUACUGGGAGGCUUGAAUCCGGGAGAGGGAUGUGGAAUUCCAGGUGUAGCGGUGAAAUGCGUAGAUAUCUGGAGGAACACCGGUGGCGAAGGCGGCAUCCUGGACCGGUAUUGACGCUGAGGCGCGAAAGCCAGGGGAGCGGAACGGG